GAUGAACGCUGACGGCGUGCCUAAUACAUGCAAGUCGAGCGAACGGACGAGGAGCUUGCUCCUCUGACGUUAGCGGCGGACGGGUGAGUAACACGUGGAUAACCUACCUAUAAGACUGGGAUAACUUCGGGAAACCGGAGCUAAUACCGGAUAAUAUAUUGAACCGCAUGGUUCAAUAGUGAAAGACGGUUUUGCUGUCACUUAUAGAUGGAUCCGCGCCGCAUUAGCUAGUUGGUAAGGUAACGGCUUACCAAGGCAACGAUGCGUAGCCGACCUGAGAGGGUGAUCGGCCACACUGGAACUGAGACACGGUCCAGACUCCUACGGGAGGCAGCAGUAGGGAAUCUUCCGCAAUGGGCGAAAGCCUGACGGAGCAACGCCGCGUGAGUGAUGAAGGUCUUCGGAUCGUAAAACUCUGUUAUUAGGGAAGAACAAAUGUGUAAGUAACUAUGCACGUCUUGACGGUACCUAAUCAGAAAGCCACGGCUAACUACGUG
rnacentral:rRNA from 1 species